AUGGCCCUUCGCAGCGAACUUGCUGACAUCAAGAAGCUGGACUCCUCCGCUACGACCUACUUCAACAAGAUGAAGGUGCUGGCGGACACGCUCACCUCUAUUGGUCGGCCGCUUAGCGACGAGGAGUUCGCCGGCUUCGUCAUCAAAGGCCUCGACGCCGACUACGACAAUCUCGCCGAGGCCGUCCACAACGCCAAGCCAGCGAUGCCUCCUCACGAGCUCUACUCACGCCUCCUCUUCACCGAGCAACGCGUCGAGGCUCGUCGCUCCUCCGCCACCAUCACCGCCCAGCCGGCGGCCUUCUGGGCCUCUCGUGGCCAGCGCCCACCUGCCCCGCACCUGGCAAGGCAGCCCCGCCCCCUGCAUCGACCCUGGGUGGGGGCCCUAACACUAGGGUGGUGUGCCAACUAUGUGGUCGUGAACGCCAUGUCGCCUCCAGGUGUCACCACCGCUUUCAGAGGAGCUUCCUUGGCAUCGACAACGACGGCAAGGGCAACGAGCGCCAGUUUGCCAUGGCAGACUUUGGUCCUCCCGCUGCCGCCCCGGCUGCCCACAUCCCUGCCGCCCCAUCUGCCCACAUCGCCGCCAAGGACAAGGACCCGCGCGUCGAGCAGGGAUACACACCAUCCUACCCUGUUGAUCUAG
rnacentral:rRNA from 1 species